AUGAACCACGUCAAGUCGGCUCUUCUCUCAGGCCACCGCCCGCACCGUCUCGCGGCGGCGGCGCCGCAGCAGCUGGCGGCCACCGCGUCGUUCCACUCCACGCCUCCCCUGCAGCGGAAGCGCAAGACCCAGUGGCAGCACAUGCUUCUGAAUAUUGGGUUCCUCAAGGUGAAUUUGGACGUCCUUAGGUUCAAUUUUUAUGCAAAACGCAGGAGAAAUAGAGACACAAAAAGAACAAUGAUACGGAAUAUGUCUGAGUAUGCGGAGCAGCUCUUCAAUAGUUGGCGUGAUGAAGAUGAGAAAAAAGACGCAUCUAGUGGACCUUCAUGGUUUAGAGGACAUCGUUGGGUCAGAGAUUCGAGGAAUAAUGGUUUCCGUCCACAUGAGUUUUUUUACGAUACUGUCAAAAGCAGGGGGGGAUUUGAGUUUUGCACAAGCGAUGAUGAUGAUGAACCAGAGACUGUUUUUCGCAAUGCUUUUCGUGGGAACCAGCACACAUAUUAUUGGUCUUUUGAAUCUGAUGAUUUUCCAAGGAGGAAUUCAAGACGUUCUCAUUCAGAAAGUUCCGGACACUGGAGUUAUGAAACAGACGAUGAGGGCGAAAUAUCCACCCAGACAGAGGUAUCUGUGGCGCGUCAGGCUCUUGGAUUGAGUACUUCUGGCCCACUAAAACUCGAAGAUGUUAAAAGCGCAUACCGGACGUGUGCACUUAGAUGGCAUCCAGAUCGUCAUCAUGGCUCAUCGAAGGCUACCGCAGAGGAGAAAUUCAAACGUUGCAGUGCAGCAUACCAGACUCUGUGUGAUAGUUUGGCUACUGCAUAA
rnacentral:rRNA from 1 species